CUCAGAUUGAACGCUGGCGGCAGGCUUAACACAUGCAAGUCGAGCGGGGAAGGGUAGCUUGCUACCUAACCUAGCGGCGGACGGGUGAGUAAUGCUUAGGAAUCUGCCAUUUAGUGGGGGACAACAUUCCGAAAGGAAUGCUAAUACCGCAUACGUCCUACGGGAGAAAGCAGGGGAUCUUCGGACCUUGCGCUAAAUGAUGAGCCUAAGUCGGAUUAGCUAGUUGGUGGGGUAAAGGCCUACCAAGGCGACGAUCUGUAGCGGGUCUGAGAGGAUGAUCCGCCACACUGGGACUGAGACACGGCCCAGACUCCUACGGGAGGCAGCAGUGGGGAAUAUUGGACAAUGGGCGGAAGCCUGAUCCAGCCAUGCCGCGUGUGUGAAGAAGGCCUUUUGGUUGUAAAGCACUUUAAGCGAGGAGGAGGCUCUUCUAGUUAAUACCUAGGAUGAGUGGACGUUACUCGCAGAAUAAGCACCGGCUAACUCUGUGCCAGCAGCCGCGGUAAUACAGAGGGUGCGAGCGUUAAUCGGAUUUACUGGGCGUAAAGCGUGCGUAGGCGGCUUUUUAAGUCGGAUGUGAAAUCCCCGAGCUUAACUUGGGAAUUGCAUUCGAUACUGGGAAGCUAGAGUAUGGGAGAGGAUGGUAGAAUUCCAGGUGUAGCGGUGAAAUGCGUAGAGAUCUGGAGGAAUACCGAUGGCGAAGGCAGCCAUCUGGCCUAAUACUGACGCUGAGGUACGAAAGCAUGGGGAGCAAACAGGAUUAGAUACCCUGGUAGUCCAUGCCGUAAA
rnacentral:rRNA from 1 species